rnacentral:rRNA from 1 species
AGGGUGUAAACGCUGCAGACUUGGUGUUGGAAGCCCUUUGGGGGCAUUCAGUGCCGGAGAGAAGUUGUUAAGUCUGCUACUUGGGGAGUACGUCCGCAAGGAUGAAACUUAAAGGAAUUGGCGGAGGAGCACCGCAACGGGAGGAGCGUGCGGUUUAAUUGGAUUCAACACCGUAAAACUCACCAGGGAAGACUGUUACAUGAAGGCCGAGAUGAAGACUCUGCUAGAUUUUCAGAGAGGAGGUGCAUGGCGUCAGUGACU